UAAGGUAAGAAGCCAACAGCAAGGAGAAGGUAAACAAGCCUGGUUCUGUCAUUUUGGGGAAAGCUCUCUCCUUCAGCUGUUUUGAUUCCUGGAAAUCUAUUUUUCAGGCCACCAGUUGGUGUGCAGGUCCAGUCAGGGUUUGGUGCUUUCUUUAGAUGCAACACAUGGAUCCAAGAAUCGAUUCCUUGGAGUUUGGCUGCAUAAGGGUUGGUUAACAGUACCUGAGAGGGGCCUUUCCAACAGAGUUGCAUUAUGAAAUCUUUCUGAAGAUAUCGUUUCCAGUAGACAAAAUCUCUGGGCUGCAUGGGGAGAUGUUUAAGGUCUUCAUCCCCUCGGGCAAGCUGUGUAAAGAUUGUUUUACUAAAGCAUGGUUUAACAAUUAGGUGUUCGCAAUAUCAUCAAAAGGAGUAGACCAGAGAUUUAGAAGGAUUAAUGGCAGUGCCUUUGGUCAGGGUAUUUGAAGGGUCUCUGCAAAUUUUGCUAAUUGGGUCUUAAUUACACUGUUCUCAUGUUUGAGGAUUGAGGGUUGUAAGCACAGUGAAAGUGCUGUAAAACUGCCCAAACAGCACAGAUCUGUCAAAACACUUGUCCAGUGAAGGGACUUCCCCCAUCACUCUGAAGUUCCAGGGGCUUCUUCAGGUUGGGAUGAUCUUUUCUAGUAGAUCAAGAUCUUUUCUUAUUCUGAAAUGAGGUGCCCCAAAUAUCAAACCUCCAUUCGGGAAUUUAAAGUGCUUGGGAGCAGUGUGAACAGGUGUUCUUGAAUCAUAUUUCAGCCGGAGGGGUAGGCAAGCAAAGCAGGCACUCUUUGCAGCCUUAUUAAUAUAUCCCACUGCUGAUUCACAAAGAUUAUCAUUUUUUUCAGUAUACCAGUGAUUCAAUGCAUGGAUAAUAAUCAGUAAUGGGAAAUUUGGAGUCUCUGGCAGGACUGGAUUAUUUUUGGCGUAAGCCAGAGUUUUCUUUUUUUAACCAAAUUAACAAUUACUAGAAUUCCAAUAUUGUUUUUCCUUUUCUAGGGCCAACUGCUGGGCAUCUCUAGUCAACUUUUCUAGAUUAUCUCUUUGAAGAAACAUCUCCGUGGACCAUGACAGAAGUUUGGUUGUUGGUUUCUUUGAGAGCAGUGUACUUUGUGGCAUUCCAAAGUCGUGAGCUAUUGCAAAGACAUCACUCUUGUCAUAUAUGUAUAUGUGGCUUUGCUGUCGGCUAAAAUGCAAGCUCAAGUAAGACAGUUCGGACUGUUGGGGCGAGGUAACCAAGGUACCUUGAUGACUUCCAAAGGAGUUGGAAGAGCAUACCCAGCAUAAUAUUUACCAUUUUGAUCCUUUUAAAUAAGAACUGUCAGUACAAAAAAGUUGGUGUUAAUCAAAGGAGUUCCCUGUAAGUCAUCAGGCAGGGGCAGGAGGUGACCUGUCGGAGACAAAAACUCCUGAGGAGUACCAUCCACAGAAGAGGGAAGGAGGGUGGCAGGGUUAAGAUUAGUUAUGUGAGGAGUGGGUAUGUGUAAUGAGAAUUCAGGAGGGAGAGGGAAAUAGGAAAUUGGUCAUUAGGAUGUCCAAGGGCAGGGGAUUUUUUUAAGCUUUCAUUUAGGGUUUUAUUUUGUUUUUAAAGAUUUUAAUUAUUUAUUUGAGAGAGACAGAGCAUGAGCAGAGGCAGGAGGCAGUGGGAGAAGCAGGCUUCCCGCUGAGCAGGGAGCCUGAUCUGGGACGCGAUCCCAGGACUCUGGGAUCAUGACCUGAGCUGAACGCAAAUGCUUAACUGAGCCACCUAGAUGUCCCUCCUUGAGGGUUUUAAAGGCUAAAUCAUCCUGAUCUUCCCAAAUAAUAGGGUCAGGUUUGUUAUUUUUUAAAGUUUUUUUUUAUUUUAAUUUUUUAAUUUAUUUAUUUGAGAAAGAGAGUGCAGAGAAAGGGAGAGAGAGAGAGACCACGAGCUGGCAGGGGGAAGAGGGGAAGGGAUAAGCGUGCUCCCCACUGAGCAGGGACCCCGAUGUGGGGCUCAAUCCCAGGAUACUGGGACCAUGACCUGAGCCGAAGGCAGACGCUCAACUGGCUGAGCCACCCAGGUGCCCCAUGUUGUUUUUUAAUACAGUAGCCUGCUAGCCAAGAAAACCUUGUAAAUGGCACUUGGUUUGGGGUUUGAGCAAGUUCAAGAUGCCCAUUUGAAUCUAAAUGUAGCCCUUGUUCUGAAAUUAGGUGCCCCAUAUAGCAAAGUUUAGUUUGAGCAAACUGCAAUUUCUCCUUGAAGAUUUGUGUCCCUUUAAGGCUAAAAGUUUAACAGGUGGAUGCUGUCUUCCAUGCGAAGAGGCCUGAGAAGGGGAGCAGAGAAAGCAAGUGCUCUGCAUAUUGUCAUAAAGCAGAGCCUCCAGGUAACUCUGUAUCGUCUAAAACUGCUUUUAAAUUUUGGAAGAAGUAGGAAGGACUUUUGGUAAAUCCUUGGCGCAUUAGAGUCUAGUUGUAAUGUUUUCGUUCCUAAAUAAAGGUAAGGAGAUAUUGGCACAUCCUAUCCCCAGGGCAGAAGUAAGGAGGCCGUAAACCCCUGAAUACUCCUAAUAAUUUUUUAUUAUGGGCUUGAUGCCCUACAGCUUAUCCAAUAGGGACCCAUAGUUAGUAUCCUUACUAUUAGGUCUCGUGUUGCCAGAGAUGGAACAAAUAAAGAUAUUGAAGGGUUAUUUGAUUCAUCUGGUCGCCUAUUUUGGUUACUGCUAUCAAAUUCUAGAAUUAUCUCCCCGUUUCGGGAGAAAGAAAUUUUAGUGUGUUAUUUCUCUAAGAAAUCUUAGCCCAAUAAAAGGAUAGGGCUGAAAGAAGUCAGGAGAAAAGGGUGAGUAUCUCAUCAUAGAGGGCGUAAAUAAAGGGAGUAAGUUUAGAGACAGGAAUGCAUUGAGGUUUAUUGGAAACUCCUGCUAGUUGAAUCAUUUGAAUCUGUCGAGGCAGGGACUGUUAAAUAACAGUGGGGCUGAGCUCCAACAGUGCAGCUCAGGUGUCAUUAAACACAGAGAGAGAUUCAUUUCCAACCUGGAGAAAGAUGGAGAAAUGCUCCUGUAGUUCCUCAGAGGCUUGUAAUUAGGAAAAGGUUGGUUGGAGGGCUGAAGGCUCCUGGAGAGCUUAAAUUGGUAACAAUCUUUCUUCCAGUGUCCUAGCUUUUGCAGUAAUGACAAAGACCAGACAAAGUUUGGCUUCGUUUAGGGGCCUCCAUUUGUUGGAGUUGAAAAUUAAGGAUUUCAGUGGAUUUCCUUUUAGUUGAAACACCUACGGUGAGCACGAGCCGAUGUUCUAACUUAACCAAAGCUAGAGUGGAUGUGGUUUCCUAUUCCAUCCUGGUCCUUUUAACUAGAAAGAAAAGAUCACAGUUCAGCCUGUUCAUAAACACAGAGUGGAAGACUACCCAAGUGGAUUCAACAUCGGUAGAAGGCCAGAAUUUUCCUUGGAAACAAUUUGGAGUCAACUGCAAUAGUUGUGCACAGGCUCAUCGGGUUUCUGAAUUCAAGUCUGAACCUUACUCCAGUCAAUAGGUUUCGAGAAAGCCCUAGGCAUUGCCAGGUGAAGUCGCUUAGUGAUUGCAACCCUGACAGUAUACAAGGCCGGGAGUUGGUCUCACACUUGCAGUCCUAGAGAUUUUUCAGAAUCGUCCUGCUUAGCUGUUUGCCUCCAGUGUUGGGCUUGGCCUUUGCCAAAGAGCACGUGAACUAGCUGAAGUCUGAGAAACCAGGUUGAUACAUCAGCGACUGUGAGGAAGACCAUGGUGUGGAGGGCAAGGAAGAGAGGCAAACUUUGUGACGGGAACUGGGCCUUGAUAUGAAGCAAGAAUCCAACAAACCCUAAUCUCUGGGAUCAUAAGAACAAUGAGAAGACACUGAACCUUCACCUCCAACAUACUCCACAUCCUCCGGUACGCGUGGUGCAAGGGAAGAGGACUAUGAAGACAGACGGGGCCUUCUGGGUCACACAAGGGCCUGCAGGCCUGAAGCCACUGCUCACAACCAAAGGUGGGGAAGAUGGCCCAGAGCUGGUGUGGAUCUCAGCUGAGGCAUGGAGGUGUGCCAGAAAGCCCCGCAGCCCCUGGGGUGGAAAUAAAAAGCUAGCCCUGGCCUCCCCUUUAGGAACACACCUACCUGGCGAAGUAGCAACCGCACAAGACUCCUCUGAAGAGAGGGAGCCAAACAGGCUGGUGGAGAGCCUAACAGCAUGAGUGGCCUUGAGGAAGCAUACCUGUAUGCACU